AGCUUAAACAGACAUACCUCCUCAGCAUUCUUUUCCAUGCAGAGUUCAAAGAGGCCUAAGACAUCUCACAUUUAUGUGAAAUAGUUGAGGCACAAGUAUGUGGUUAACUACACAUAAAUUACCAAUAAAAUUAAAAGUUAACUAAAAUACUACAGAAGACAUUUAAUAUUUUGCUUCAGACUGUUAUAGUACCUUAGGGUUAUGAACAUCAAUUACCUUUGAGCCUUACUAUAUUUAAAGGGAAGGGGAAGCUGACAUUUUUAUCUUUUUUAAUGGGUACACUCUACGUUACCUUAAAGGCUUCCCCGGUUUAAGCAAAAAUAGAAUUAUGUGGUUUAAAUCAUAUACCUUAUUCUUCAUACUUAGCUCCAAGUAGAUUAUGACUUUUCCUAAAACUUAACAUGACAGAGAUUUGCCUUCCAGGGGGUCUAAUUUGAAGAGGAAAGUAAUUUAAAUGUAUAGGUUUAUAUAAUAGCAUUGUAUUUUUCUCUAUUUUAUUCAUUCUUUCAUUCUCUUCGAUGACUCCCAGCACCUGCGCGUCCAUCUUCAUUCUUAGCCAAUGACCUUUCCUUUUACUUAACAGAGAAAAUAACAAUCAGAAGAGUCUUCAUAAGUUCCCACCCCGUCUGCCCGCUUUCUACAGCCAACCCCACAUGCCCUGCCUUCUCUCCUUUCACUGUGGAUGAACCGCCCGUGCCCCAAGCAAAGACAAACCCUCCACUUGAACACUCACUUGCUGAAGGAUGUGGCUUAGGCAGUUUUCCUGUCUCCUGAAGCCACAGUAUUCCCCUUCAACUGGAUUCUUCUCCUCAGCAUAUAAAUAUACUUUUUUUUCCUAUCUUUAAAAAAAAAAAAGAGUAAAAUCACCCCAUUUUUUUCCUUUACAAUAUGACUCAAAAGAGUAGUUCAUACUUCCUGCCUCCAUUUUCUUCCCUCACAUUAUCUCUUAAACAUUCUCUGAUCACGCCAGCCAAAUUGCUCUUGUCAACUCAUUUCCCAGUUCUCAUUUCACUUGACUUGUUAGCAGUUGACCUCUCCUUUCUUCUGGGAAGUUUCUUCGUUUCUCCGAAACACUCACUGCACAAGCCUUCAUAUCUCCUAGUCUCCAUCUUGUCUCUUUGACCUCUGAUGUAAGGACUGAGUCCUUGGACCACUUCUCUUUUCUAUUUAUACUUACUCCCUGCGUCAUCACCCCCAGUCUUGUGGCUUCAAAUGCUAUCUGUGUGUGGAUAGCUCCUCCAGUCCACACCUCUUUUCUGAAUCUUUUUUCAAAUUCACACAUGUGAAUUUGAAUUCCAGGCUCAUCACAUCCAGGUGUGUUCCCCACACCUCCACCUGAAUGUCUAUUAGAAAUCUCACACCCCUCUUGUCCAAAACUGAGCUCUUGAUCUUUAACCAGAAACUUUAUCUCAGCUAUUGGCAACUCCAGGUUUCUGUUUUGCUCAGGCCACAGACUUCAGAGUCAUUCUCACACUGCCUUUUCUCUCAUACACCAUUAUGUACCUGUCAGCAGGUCCCAAAUAUCUAGAAUUUGAUUGCUUCACAUCCCUAUAGCAACUCUCCUGGUUCAAGCCCAUCAUCAUCUGGAUUUUUGGGAAGUGGUCUUAACUGGUGUGCUGCCCUUCCCCUCUGCUCUCAACCCUAUUUUCAACAUAGCAGUCAGAAUAAUCUAAAAUAUAAACCAGAUCAUAUCACUCCUCUGCUCAACACCCCCUCCCAAUACCUUCAUGUCAUCCUCAGAGUUAUUGUCCAAGCCUCUAACUGUGGUCUACAAGUCUUUACAUGAUCUGUCCUGUUACAUUUUCCACUCUCGCUCCAGACCUGACCUAAGAGGCUUUUCUCUGAACUUGCUAAACAUGCUCUUACCUGAGGGUCCAUUCCCACUGCCUCUGCCUGGAAUGCUCUUCCCCAGACAUGCAUCUGCGUGGAUCAUUUCCAUGCCUCCUCAGGUCUUUGCCCUCAUGAAGCCUUCCCUGACAACCCUAUUUAAGAUUGUAAUCCCCUCCCACAGUGGCCCCUAUCUGCUAGAGACUGAAUGUUUUUGUCCCCCCAAAAUUCCUAUGUUGAAGCCUUAAUCUCAACAUAGGAGGUUUGGCCUUUGUGAGUUAGUUUUAGAUGAGGUCAUGUGGGUAAUAGAAUUAGUGCAUUUAUAAGGGCGUGAAGAGCCCUCACUGUGAGGAAACCAGAAUGUAAGCCUUCACCAGAACUUCUUCAUGCUGGCACCCUGGUCUUAGACUUCCCAGCCACUAGAUCUGUGAGAAAGAAAUGUUUGUUGUUUAAGCCACCCUGUCUAUGGUACUCUUGUUACAGCAACCUGAACUAAGACACUAUCCCUCUCCCCUGCUUUCUUUUUCUGUUAUCACCAUAAUUAAUGUUUUACUUAUAUAUGAUUUGUUAAUGUAUGUCUCUUCCCACUAGAAACCGAAUUCUAUGACAGCAAGGGUUUUUGUUUUCAUUAUUGUCAUAUUACCUGUGCCUGGCAUGUGAUAAGCCCUAAGUACUUGUUGACUGAAUUAACAUAUGAGAUCUGUGAGUCUGAAAAAAGAAGUACAUCAUUCCUUCACAUGUCAUUUUGAGCCACUGUUAACAGAUUACAUAACUGUUAUUGGAAGUGCCUCACUACUCCAUUUGGAAAGUAUUCCUGGAAUACACGAUGAAUGACUCAGUAGAAGUUCUGGCUAUGGGGGAGUGCCAUCAAUAAAUAAAAAUAAUACCAUUGUCUGUUGGUUAUAAGUUGCUGUCACAGACUAUGAAGGUAUUUGAAUUGUAUUUUCAGGAAGAGAAACAGAUAUGCAACCAAUCUGAUUUGGUUCCACACCCUGCCACAGAAGUCCCAAAGGAGAAGCAAAUGCCACUUGUAGACUCAAACUCUGGACUUCAUUCUCAGCACCAUCUCUUAACCUACUGAGUAAAUCCUAUGAACCUGACUAGGGUGGCAACUGAAGUUGUAGUACUUUCUGUCUUCAAAGGAGGGUGAACCUGGAGUAUGUUGGAAGAAGUGUUAGGUUCAUUAGAGACACCUCUUUCAUAACUGCUGUCACCUAGAAUGUCUAUUCUCUAAGCACCUUCUUGAAAGAAGCACAUUCCCCCAGGAGGAGGAAAUGGUUUGUUUUCUUUAGUGACAGUUGGCCCAGGAUCCUAAGGUAAAGGAGUAUGGGCACUAGACAAAAUGAGUUUUAUAAUAGUCGAUUGGAAGGAAUGGAAGUUUUUGAAUCACAGGCUUCUGCCUUGAAAGGGCAAGUCCGUGGUGGUCAUGAACCACCCAGAGUGUGUACAAGGCUCCUGCCAGAAGAAAUGCCUGUAGGAUUAAAAGCAAAACAGCAGAAUCAAAAAGGAAGGGCACGAUGAUGCCCAGGUGCAGCCUAUAUUAUUAACAGACAAGGAAAGAAUCCAAAUAAAAGUUCUGUAAACCA
rnacentral:lncRNA from 10 species